rnacentral:rRNA from 1 species
UACGGAGGGUGCAAGCGUUAUCCGGAUUUACUGGGUUUAAAGGGUGCGUAGGCGGGCUUUUAAGUCAGUGGUGAAAUCUCCGGGCUCAACCCGGAAAUUGCCAUUGAUACUAUUAGUCUUGAAUUAAGUUGAGGUGGGCGGAAUGUGUCAUGUAGCGGUGAAAUGCUUAGAUAUGACACAGAACACCGAUUGCGAAGGCAGCUCGCUAAACUUAUAUUGACGCUGAGGCACGAAGGCGUGGGGAUCAAACAGG